UCGCAUUUGCUUUUCGUCUCGCUUCCCUCCCCUCUUCAGCCCCUCUCCAUUCUCCAUCUUCGCCUGCGCCUGCGCCGCCGCCUCCUACUCCUAGCGAGUAGCGACCUCGGUUAGGGUUUGGGUCCUGCCUUCUUCUCGUCUCCCGAGGAGUGAAGAUGGCGGGCCUGAUUGUGCCCAAUACAUUCUCAAACCUAGCUCACGAGUAUGUUUGCAAAACAAAGACAGAGAAUUCUUUGUUUUUUCUCAAAGUUUCUGUAGAACCAUCCCAGAUUGCAAAUGUUCUUGAUCAUCUGAGGAUUAAUCUUCAUAUGACUGAGGAGGAAGCUAAUGAGACAGUUAAUUCAUGUAAGAUGGUCACAUGUUUUGUGGAAUCUGAGACUGACACUGACUAUUAUGUUUUGACGUGUGCCCAUGCAUUUGGUGACUUCUAUUCAGCUCAAGUCCAAAUCAACUGUGCACAGAUAAACACUUGGUUCCAAGUGUUGGUGAUCUGCCAACACUAUAAGCAAAAUAUGGCCAAUACUUUUCCAAACCUUUAUGCUGACCCUGAUCUAGAUCCAAGGAUAUACACACCAGCAACAGUUUCUAAGUUCGAUCAAAACAAGGAUAUAAUGUUUUUACGCAUUAAUAAGGAUAAUUUAUAUUCUGAUAAUAAUCUGAUCCGUUGUGAAAUGCCUCAUCCUUCCCUUCGUAUCUCUCGCUUCAGUCCUCCGCCUCUAAAUGAUGUCCUAAUGGUUUCAUGGCCCCCGUUGAGAAAGGACACACCUGUGAUUGGACAAGUGAUUUCACAAUCUAGAGUGUAUGGACAAAUCACAAGAGAUCAAUCCAAGGGAUAUGACAUGCAUCUGACUGAGUUAAACAUCUGUGGAGGUGAUGGAAGUUCUGGUGCACCAGUUUUAAACAACCAUGGACAUGUGGUCUGUAUGUACCAUGGAAGAUUGAAUUCUGUUGGGUAUGGUAUUUCAAGAGAAGAUCUACAUCAAUUUCUUAUAAACUAAGUUUGAAGAUAUAUCCUGGAAACUGUUGCUGGUGUGUGUAUUUUUAUUCUCAACUGGUCAGUUGAUUUGGCAUUCUCUUUGUAAUGGGAAGUAUUCAAGAUGUCAAGCAUAAUAUCUCUGCAAGCUAUUGUAGAGUUGGAAGUCACUUUGGUGGUUGACCUGGCCCGACAAGUUCCCAGUUCAGUGUUGACCUGAUAGAUGGGCAGUAUAAAAAAUCUACUUUGGUGGUUGGUGCAAUGGUAGAAGCCAGUGGGACUAUGAUUUCUUUGGAGAUGUUUUAUUAUUGACACCAAUGUCAUUUGGCCUCUUCGUCGGUGUUAAUAGUAAUAACCACUUCCAGACAGUGUUCUAUGCUGGUCUUUUUUGUGAUGAGAGUGCACAACUCCAGGACUUCCUGUAGAACAUGCAACUGGACAGUGGGAACAAUACAAGCAGGGCUCUGCCAACAGGUAGCUGAUACUCUUCCAGGAGGCUGCAUUAACAUGUUGCUUUGUUUGCUAUUUCUUCUUGUGUUCCAGCAUGGACAUCUGCCAUUGUGCAAGGCUACUCUCAAGAUGUGCAAGUUCAAGAGUUGUUUUCUAAGCUGUCGGUGAGUUCUACUGCAGUUCCCAAUUUUUCACUACAAUAGAUGUGCUCAGAUUCAAGAAUGGAAUAUGGUUGGGCAACAAUUCUACUUUACAAUCUCAAAUCAUUGCAGUUCCAAGUAUGCUGGGCUGCUACAGCCCCCUCCUUAUUCCCUCUUCUGCCUGGAAUAUAAUCACAAUGGAUUUUGUGGAAGGUCUCCUAAAGUCCUUGGGCAAGAACUGCAUUCUUGUGAUUGUGGAUAAAUUCUGCCACUUUCUCAUCCCUUUACUGCUGCUGGUGAUCUAUAAGUUUCAUGGUCUUCCAGACUCCAUUUCUCACAGGGACAAAGUUUUCACAAGCAACUUCUGGCAGGAGCCCUUCAACUCUUCAAGUUUGGCCAAAGUUUCUCUCUGUAUGAGCUUUAGUUACCACUCUCAAACAGAUUGGCGACCUGAACCUGAACAAGUCAAUCAGUGCCUGGAUACCUGACCUUCCUCAGGUGUUUGGCCACACUUGUCCCUCGAAGUGGAUGGAUUGGUUAGUCCUAGCUGAAUACUGGUACAAAACCUCUACUCACUCUGCUAUUUGGGUGUUCCCCUUUUGAAGCUCUGUAUGGUUACACUCCCAAGAGUCUGGGCCUAUCUGCAGCUGAUAAUAUCAAGUUCCUGACUUGUCUUCCUGGAUGAAAGAAAAACAGUUAAUGUCCAGUUUAAUUCAGCAACACUUCCAUCAUGCUCAGGAUGAAGAGUCAGGCUGAUGAAAACAACUCUGAGUGCUCAUUCCAGUUCAGUGACUGGGGGUGCUGCUAUAGCCUAUAGCUGAUGUGAUUCUUGGCACAUAUCUAUGGUGACAUUUCAAGUGUCAAGGAUCUUGGUCCCAUAUACAGAAAAAACUGGAAAUUCUAAGAUUUUUUUCAUAGGUUUAUUGUUGACAUUUGAAGAGUUUGGAAGAACAUAGGACAAUAUGCUUGACCAGUACAAGAUUACAACCCAAGAGAUUAUGCUUUAUUGAUCAGGACAUGAGUGCAGAAAACCAUGGUCCGAAGAUAAUUCUGUGCAAGAAUGUUAAGAACCCAGAGAGUAGAAUGUGCCAAUCAUAUAGUGAAAAGAUUUGCACCAAGGAACCACCCAGGAAUUCUUCAAUGAACAUGUUCCUGCUGAACUGCAGCAAGCUUAUCUUUGAUCAGAGGAUGGAGACAGGAAGGGAAGACCAUGAAACAUGACAGGUUAAGAGACUUCAAAGCCGCAUGUGGCAUAGAGAAGCUUGCAUUGGAAUUACAUACUGCAACUGCUUUCUGAAUGUUUCAUAGAGGUUAACAAGUCACAUAACCACAAGGUACUGUCAGUGAUGGAAAGUGAACACAGUACACAUUGGAAUGCAAGUGAAAGGGAGCAGUGGUAGAACGUCAGAUUUGAAGUACAGGUUCUGGAUGGUGGUAGUAGAUACAGUUGCAAGUGUGGGUAGUAUGAGCAUUUCAGCAUCUUCUGCUGCCAUGCAUUGAGAUGUUGAUUUGUUUUAGACUUACAAUUACAAAGGUACCUGAAACACAGAUCCUGAAGCUUUGGACCCAUACAGCACAUGAUGUUUCUACCUAAGAAGAACUGUGGGCCACUAGUCUUUCCUAUCUGACCAUAUCUAAAUACUUGAACUAUCAACUAACUUGAUCCGGUCAACAAGGGCAACACUGACAUGGAGAUUUAUCCAGUUGUCAUGAAGCAUAUUCAGAAUGCUAAUUAAGAGGUUGAAAAAAGUUACUUACAGGCUCGAGUAGGUAACAACUAUAGCACUUGGGGAACACAUGUAGUGGCACUGGCACCUAGGUCAACAGCAUGGUGUGCCAGUCUUACAAUGAUGGAAUACAAGGCAGUCACUGAGUGCAUCAGGCUGCAAACUCGGGUAUGACAAUUGGUGCACAAAUAAUUAGCAUCAAAGAGCUAUAAUUCUGUAGGCAUUCAGGGAGGGAAAGGGAGAUGUGACUUUGCUCUGUAAAGAAAGGCGGUAGAAGGAAGAAGCCUUAACAUCGUCAAACUUCCAGACCAGCAUAGGACAGCACAUCUGGGAACCGGGCUCAAGCAGCUAAUGUCAAGAAGAGAAACAGAAGCAAAAACAGACAGCUUUUGCCUUUUGCCUAUCCAGAAAACAGGGAAAUCUGCAUGCAAGAAAUUUGGGUAUGAUUAGUACAGUCACUGUAGUGCAUCAGGCUGCAAACUCAGUUAUGGCAAGUAGUGCAAAAAUAAUGAGCAUCAUGGAGCCAUAAUUCUGUAGGCGAUCAGGAAGAAGCCUAAACAUCGACAAAAUUCCAGACCAGCACAGGACAACACAUCUGGAAACCAGGCUCAAGCAGCUGAUGUCAAGAAGAGAAACAGAAGCAAAAACAGACAGCAUUUGCCUUUGAACAAUCUAGAAAACAGGGAAAUUUGGGUAAAAUUGGUGGACCUGUGGCUGUCAGAAGGGACGAGCUGUGCAAGCUCCAGGAGGACAACAGGUCUGCCUUUCUUGUGGUGAAAACGAAAGGUGAAUGUGCGGUUCUACCACAAGCUCGACAUCAUCAAAAUCUGGUUAGGAGAUUAUGAACCCGUCAGUGCCCCUGCCUCUUAGGCUCUCUGGAAUCCUCGUGGCGCAGGGGGUCCAAACAACAAGCGCUUGCCCGCACCAAGUCAGAAGGCUCAUUGCUGCUCACGGCAAGAACGGGGAAGCAGAAGGGCGUCCGAGCACGGAGAGUGCCACCGCCGGCACCCUGGACGAAGAGUCCCUGCGACGUGAGCUCGAGAAGGCGAUCCAGGAUGAGGACUACGCCCGCGCCGCGGCGCUGCGAGACGAGCUCCGCGUGGUCCACAGGACGGCAGGUCGGCGGUCCUGGCGGCGAACACCCGGUUCUACACGGCGUUCAAGAACGGCGCCCUCGUGGCGAUGCACCAGGCCUGCCUGGGCCAAGGGCGACCACGUCUACGUGGUGCACCCGUGGCUGUUCUAAUUGUGGACUUUGGCUCAUUGUCAUAGAAAUUGUUAGUACACUGGGAUUUGAAAGUUGAAACCACACGGACAAAAGAAAAAACUGUGCCUAUUUGAGUUUUUCUCUAAAAAUGUACGAAACAUGGUGAACCAUUGAGGUUCUAUA